UCACUUGUUAGGGUCUGUACACUGGAAUACUUUAUAUUAAGAAAGUAGUCUAUGGUAUUGCAAUCUGAUAUUAUCAUCCCUGACUAUGAUUGUACUCCAUAAUAGUUUGACUAAUGAUUUUUCUAUUUAACUUCUGAAACUAGCUCAUCGUCUAGACCCGAGGUGAGUGUAUGUUCCCUGAUGCUAGAGGCGAGUUUCAUCGCGCUCCUCCCGCGCUGUGCGUCUCAUCGCAUCAUUCCAGCACGAGCAGCGAACGCGUCGCGUCGCGUCGGGAUUCCUGAGGAUUACCCGGCGUGCCCCGCGGGAAAGAUGGCGCUGGACGGGAGAAGAGGGAGAUAAACUUUAUCUGAAAUCGGGAACAGCGGUUAUCUACACCUGCGAUCCGUGGUAACGCUUUCGCACCUCACGGAGAGAUAGCGGCGAGAGGACGCGGUGUGCGCGAUCGCUUCUGAAGCACGAGCGGAGAGAGUUCAGCGGCCGCUAGCGAGUGUGUGUUAGCCAGCGAGGAGGAGAAGAAGGAGGAGGAGCGGGCAAAGUUUAUUCAGUUUGAGCAAGAGUCAAGACUGAUCUGCACCAGGCUCUGGGCUUAACUGCGCAAAAAUCACUAGAGGCAGGUCAUUGAUAGCCUUGAGGUUCACAUGCUGAACGGGGGAGGAGGCGCGGGAGGAAGAGGAGCGAGACGUGAGCUAGAUUGAGUUUCCUUGGCGACCGGAGGGACCCACUUGGGGCGAUGACUCUGGAGAAUGCAGCAUGCACACUUGAGAUCUCGCCGAACAGGUGGAAUUCAGUCAAAUAUUGUCCUGGAAAUAUAUCAUUAGCUCUUACUUAUAAAUGGUCAUAUUUUAUGAAAUUUGUAGUGUUCCUCAUUGAAAUGUUUUACAAUUUUGUCUUUUGCAUAAUGAAUUGGCCAUUUGCUCUGACAGUAAUGGUGUUUUUUUUUACUAAUUUACCUCGAACAGUUUCUAGUGGUUGGCUGUUUUUUUUCGGCCUCUAUUGA
rnacentral:lncRNA from 12 species